UGUAUUUUCUUUGGCUGAUGUCGUGUUUCCUUGCAGAGGCCAUGAGGUCUGGAAGGCAGGAAUCAAUUCUCCCACAUGGAGGCAUGCUCCCGGGCGUAGAGGACAAUGUCUCGCAUGAAGCGGGCACUAAGUAAACACUCAUGGAGUGAUUGAUGGGCUGUUUGAGAGAAAUGUGCUCGUGAGAGUCUGGGGCACAUCUGGAAAGAGCUGAGAGAGGAUUUUCAGGAGGAGCAGGCAGCACAGAACUUGCUGCAGGAGCCUGCCAAAGGCUUUGUGCUGCCUGGUUUUUCCUCCCUUGAUCCUGGUGUCAGUUUCAGAAAGACUUAAGUGGAUCCUGCAUCAGGAGGGAGCAGACACCGGAGAAAGAAAAACAAGUUGUGCUGUUUGAGGAAGCAAGUUGGACCUGCACUCCAGCCUGUGGAGAUGAACCUAGGACUGUGAUUCUGCUAUCCAGUAUGUUGGCUGACCACAGGGUGGAAAACUGCAGACCCCACCCAGUGGCAGCAGAGGAGGGAGGUUAAUCUAAGGACUGAGAUGAAGCCAGGCUGGGCUGGAAUGAAGGAAAACUGGUUUCAAGAAGAAAACAAGGCUGGGUAUGGUGGCUCAUGCCUGUAAUCCCAGCACUUUGGGAGGCCAAGGCAGGAGG
rnacentral:lncRNA from 1 species